GUUCCCUGGCCCAGGCAGCACUGACUCAGCCGCCCUCCGUGUCAGCGAACCUGGGACAAACUGCCCAGAUCACCUGUAGCAGCAGCUGGGUUGGCUGGUACCAGCAGAAGACUCCUGGCAAUGCCCCUGUCACUGUGAUCUACUGGGAUGACGAGAGGCCCUCGGGCAUCCCUUCACGGUUCCCCGGAUCCACGUCUGGCUCCACGGCCACGUUAACCAUCAGUGGGGUCCAAGCCGAGGACGAGGCCGUCUG